rnacentral:rRNA from 1 species
GGAGCAUGUGGUUUAGUUCGAAGAUACGCGAAGAACUUUACCUAGCCUUGACAUUGAUUGAACACUUUAGAGAUAGAGUGGUGCCCUUCGGGGAACAUGAAAACAGGUGCUGCACGGCUGUCGUCAGCUCGUGUCGUGAGAUGUUGGGUUAAGUCCCGCAACGAGCGCAACCCUCGUCCUUAGUUGCCAGCAGGUUAAGCUGGGCACUCUAAGGAGACUGCCUUCGCAAGGAGGAGGAAGGUGAGGACGACGUCAAGUCAUCAUGGCCCUUAUGGCUAGGGCUACACACGUGCUACAAUGGGGCGUACAGAGAGUUGCGAUACCGCGAGGUGGAGCCAAUCUCAUAAAGCGUCUCUCAGUUCGGAUAGAAGUCUGCAACUCGACUUCUUGAAGCUGGAAUCACUAGUAAUCGUAGAUCAGCAAUGCUACGGUGAGUACGUUCCCGGGUCUUGUACUCACCGCCCGUCACACCAUGGGAGUUGAUUUCACCCGAAAUUGGGAAGCUAACCUUCGGGGGGCUACCACUUACGGUGGAAUUAGCGACUGGGGUGAAGUCGUAACAAGGUA